AUGGGCCCUCUUGUGGUAGACCCACAUGUCAUUGGUGUAACUAUUUACACUCCGGAGGACGGUGCCUAUAUCCUGGUAGUAGUACUAGUAGAAUUGAGAUUUAAUGCACUUUCUUCCCCGUCUUCCACUCUUCUUCCUCCUCUCUUCUUCUUCCUCCUCUCUUCCCCAACGUCGGCCGCACACCAUUUACCCCCGCUCACUGCUCGCCCGCCCGCGCCAUCUUCCUUGGUAGCUCGCGCAGAUUCGUCGACACAGCUUGUUGCCAGUUUGAAGCACUCCUCUGGUUUGAAGGAUAGAUACCUUCCUGGGAUCAAGUGCAUCCUAACUCACCUACUACCAUAUAACUGGAAUUACCGAUGCAAGUCGAAGAAGGAUUGGCCGAUGCUGCCGACUGGCGUCAAGUUUGAUCCCACAGAUCAGGAGCUGAUCGAGCACCUUGAGGCCAAAGUGAGUGUUGACAGCGCGAGAUUUCAGUCUCUCAUCGAUUUGUUCAUACCAACCAUCGACAGCGAGCACGGCAUAUGCUACACCCAACCUGAGAAACUUCCAGGUCGAGCAAGUUUCAACUGGGCUGUAGACUGA
rnacentral:rRNA from 1 species